UUUGUGAUUGCACUUGGACCUCAGGCAGUCAGUGUUGCCUGGCUCCAUUCACCAUCUCCAGGAUCCUGUCAGCCAGGAGCACUCACAUCAGAUGCAGUCUUUAUUAAAGCAUGACUCAACAGAGUGCCCCUCUUGGAGAAUAAAAUGAAUGAAGAGCUAUAGCAGCAGGAGAGGGACCUGAUGGAUGGAGAGCCCCAGCUCAGGAACCUAGAGAGAGAGACAGCAUCCAAGACAGGCCUGUGGAACAGCUUCCAUUGUGCAGGGAUCCAGGAACAUAAAAACUGGAACAGUCCCUGCCCUCGAGGAGCCUGUGAUGUACGUAGUUCGGGAAAGAAGACAGGUAAGAAGGUAGCAUUAUCAAAUAUGCAAUCAGAAUAUAAGCACUGCAGUCCUCAUUCUUGGUGUCGUGAAACUAAUAGACAAACUGUGACUCCGAUUUUUAUGUCAUCCCUUGAGAAAUUACCUAAUCCCAAAGUGUUUGUAGGAUGAGAAACUCCUUGAAGUGUACUUUCCAACAUACUUUGUUAUUUACUUAUUUGUGUUUC